rnacentral:misc_RNA from 1 species
GCCACCACCGCCUUCACCCAUCGCCUCCGCCAUUGACACCUGCCUCACCCACCGCCUCGGAAGAAGAAGACGUGGAUCUAAGGAAGAAGACGCGGAUCCAAGGGUUGACUGCUGAGGAAGAAGACGCUACUCCUCGUCUUCGAUCUGGUGAGCUUCCACCUCUUUUGCUUCUGUUCGUCACCGGCGCGCAGACCGCCCUCCUCCUCUCUUGGUCUGAGCAUCCAGUUCAUCCCACCCGCGCCUCCUUUGGCUUCCUAUCCACCAUGGGGACGGUAAUGUUCCCUCGCUCGGGCGUUGGGCCUGUGACGACAGGCACCUGCCAAGAUGCCGUGUGAAUCCUAGUCCUAGCUCAUCCAUGGCUUCUCUGGCUGGUAGUAUCCCACUAGACCACAUCAAUGUCACUGGUGUCGUAGCGCCAUGGCCCAUGGUUGCAUGCUUGUGCGAAGAGAAUACAGACUGAGUACGACAUGUUGUGUAGCUUUCCCAUUGAAUAAGAUAGUGUAAUUUCUUUUCUUAUUUAAGACUUUUCCUUACUGCACUUGCCCAUCAAUAUUAUAAUUAGAUCUGUCAUGGGUCCUGCAACCAAUAUUAUAAUUCAAUAGCAGCACGUAUCUCAUUGUGUGUUGAGGACAGAGAUAUUUUGUUGCACGACCAAUUUCAGUAGAACAUUUGCGAUCAGAACUAUUUGCUAUUGAAAAUUUGAG